CCAGCAAUCCAAACAACCCUCAUUAGAAAAUUUGCCAGUGGCUUCUCUCUUAGGUUCGUUGCAAACAAGCCAUUAUCAUCAACAACUCCUACUACUUCACUAGCUUCUUCUUUGGUGCAUUCCACAAAGAUCCACUCCCCAAAAGUGUCUCUAAAGUCCAGUUUUUUAAUGCAAAAAACGUGAAAAUUAUUGAAACUUGAAGGAAAACAAAGAUCCCUUCGAGCCAUGGUGGAUACUCAGUGAAGAUGUCAUGGGAUCUUCCUCCUCCCUCUGUCAAAUUAAUCAUUCAUGGAAAAAACUUGAAGUCAUGGGGUGGUGAGGGCAGAGGAAGAUGCUGAGAAAUCUAAGCAAGUAUUGAUUUGGUGUCGUCAAUUAUUCAACAAGUUGAGGAAGAUUAAGGACAAGGAGUCUGAUCAUGGUAGACACAUGAAAGGAUUUGAUAAGUUGAAGGUUAGGGAGCCAAUGUCACAAGUGUUGGAGAAUGAUGACGACUAUCUUGAUGAGGCUGUUCACACAAAGUACUUUCACAUCCCACCUCUGGCUAUCGAUGAAGCAAUCGCGCAGCUGGGAAAUGUGGAUCAUGUCUUCUAUGGUUUCAGGCAUGCUUAAAGGGCAAGAUACUGAAUUUGAGAUCAAGUGAACUCAAACUAAUGAGAUUUAUUAGCAUGCUUGUAUGAGUUCUUAGUUCAUGGAAAAUCAGAGCCACUAUGUUGGCGUCCAAACUUUCAGGGAUGAGAAAAAAGAAUUUUGUAAUCACUAUUCAAUUUAUAUUAGAUCGAAACUUCUGUUCAUGUGGUGUCUAGUAUUGACCCGUUCCCAUUUCCCUUGGAUUUUCGCUGUGUUUUCUGUUUAGAAAUUCAGCUGUUUUUCCUCUUA